GGUGAGGUGGCCGAGUUGGUCUAAGGCGUGAGACUAAGGUGUUCUUACCGUAUAAUCUCAUCUCUUCGGAGGCGCGAGUUCGAAUCUCGCCCUCAUCA